rnacentral:rRNA from 1 species
AUACGGAGGGGACUAGCGUUGUUCGGAAUUACUGGGCGUAAAGAGUUCGUAGGCGGACUGAUAAGUAAGAGGUGAGAUCCCAGGGCUCAAGCCUGGAACUGCCUUUUAAACUGUCAGUCUAGAGACCGGAAGAGGUUAGGGGAAUACCUAGUGUAGAGGUGAAAUUCGUAGAUAUUAGGUGGAACACCAGUGGCGAAGGCGCCUAACUGGUCCGGUACUGACGCUGAGGAACGAAAGCGUGGGGAGCAAACAGGAUUAGAAACCCUAGUAGUCC